rnacentral:lncRNA from 1 species
UGCACAUCCCGAGGUCUCUCUGCCUCUCCAUGUUUCCGAGUGUCACCGGAGCUGCUCCCAAACCCGGAAAAACAAAGGCUCUCUGCUCACCACGCACACCAACUUCAGUCCUACACACGUAGCACGAAUCCACCAACCUCGCAAGUGUUAAAAUCAACCGCUAACCUACGGUUACUCCAUCAUCGUUCUCUCCAGCUUUCUGUAAUACAUUGUUAAUAAUUGCUUCAUCAAGGUUACUGUCUUUUAUUAUGAAGAUGCUUCAGGCGUUUGGCAAUAAGUCCAUAUUCUGACAAUAAGCUGCUCUAAAGCACAAGCAUUGGAAACUCUCAUAUGCUAACCCCCUUCUUUAAUGCGAUGUAGUAUUGCCAAUAAUUCUCAUCACUUGUCAUCCCCGCCAGAGGGGAGGGGGGAGGAGAGCAGCAAACUUUCUCCCUAACUUUCUUCUCUGUUUUCCUGUGUUGCUGCAUCGACUGCAGAGUUGGCAAAGAGGGACAAAAAGCACCGAGCACCACACCGAGCACUUCGCUGCCUCCCCGGGUCGCCCGGACCAGCAAACUUUACCAACCACUGCAAACUCGCGGUUGGGAACAGAAGGAAAGUUUCGCGUUCUUACAACUUUACAGACCGAGAGGGAAAGCCUGAAGGUGGGAUCCGAGCUCACUAAAGGUGGAAACAGUACCAACAGGCAACAACCACAAACACCGAAACCGGGGACCGGUCCUCUGAGCAAGUUAAAAGUCUCAGAAAGUGCCACGAAGAAAUCAGAAGGACUUACAUGGUCGGCUAAAUUUGUGGAAGAUCCUGAGAGUUCCUCGUGGUCUGACUUGGAGCUGCCAUCCCUUUCAUCGAUAACGAGGUCUAUUGGCAUUUUUCCUUUCAAACAACUAAUGUACCGAUGGCAGAAGUUAUCGCACAAUUCGUGAACCUGAAAGCAGCAACAGGAGUGAUAGCAUCAGUAAGGGCAAGCUAUCGGAUUGCAACUCUUUUUGGGAGCAAGAACAACACUCCGGAGCUCCUCCACGAGUAACUCUAAUUAAGGGGCACAAUAGUUGAAGGCAAGGAAACAAUAGAGAAAUUGUUGCAGCGCAUAUUAUUCUCCUGAGACUUGCCGCAGCAACAAGUUACACAGAGAGAGAGACAGCGUGCUCAGCCCGGUGUGCGGGGCAAACCCGAUGUGCCGCUCCCGUAGCGGGGGGAGCCGCAGCCCGGCGGUACCUCCGGGCCGAGCCGGGCGACGAGCUCAGCACCGUGGGGCUCGGGUAUGGCCCCGGCCGGGCCGGGGAAAGCUGGCGGGGCUAUGGGAAAGGCGCUCCCGGCGCGGGCAACAGCCCCUCCCGCGCCGUGCAGGGCCCCCUGCCUCCUCCAAACAUUUACUGCUCGUUUGGGGUUAAUGCGCCUGGCGGAGCGGGAGGGAAGCGGGAGGGCUUGCGUUUCUCUUUUGGUUAAACAUAGCGUUUCCGAGUCAGGAAAAGAGCUUCUGCCGAGAGAAGGGGUAAGGAGAAUGUCAGGGGUUUAAUAAUGUAUAGAUUUAAUGACUCGGUUGAAAUUACACAGAACAAAAAAAAUGCCUGGCCGGGCUGGGCAUGGCUGCCGGUGUCACAUGCUCCGGUGGCACAGGUUAUGGUGUCACCCGGCGCUCCCCCACUCCCGGCAGUGUGUCCGCUCCGUCCCGGGCAGGGACGGCGGACGGCCUGCACCAACCCCGGCGCCUCUUACCUUCUCUAACUCCAGGAGGUGGAACCUUAGUACUUGUAUUGCUUGGAUCAUCUGCAAGAGAGUUGGGAGCAGGGGUUAGGUGGGAGAGAGGAGCUCGGGGAUGCGACCCCAAAGGAGCUGGGGGAGUUGUCAGGGCAGCGGUCAUUCCCCUGGAUCUCGACCCCUCCGUCACGCCUGAGCAAUACGGAUCAGCUUUACCCCGAGCACUCGGUUUCUAUCAGAUUGAUUCGGGGUGCGGGGCUGGGCGUUUGUUCCCAAGGUCCCGGAGAAGCAAAGCCUCUUCCUCCGCUCUCGGAGGGGCCGCGGAGGGCCGAACACACGCUCGCACCCCCCCACCGCCCGGGGAAGAAAGGGGAGGGGGGAGAUGAAUAGUUUGGCAUCUUCUUUACAAGAGGAUUUAGGCACUUUGAAUAUUGAAAUCGUUCACAUUAGCAAAAGAAUUAGGCUAGAAAUCUCCAGCUCCCUCUUCUUAAGCAGUUAUUUCCUUCGCUUUGGCUUCCCGUGGCUUCUAAGCCCGGCUUCGCUGCGCGCCAGGGCCGGAGCGUUCGCCCCGGCUCGCCCCGAGCGCGGCCCUCGGAACCCCUCGGGGAGGCGGGGAGCCCUCCCGGCCCGGCCGCCUCCUGUCCCGCUCGGUGGGCUCUGUCCGGGAUUAGGGGCGGGCGGAGGGCGGCGGGCGCAGGGGUGAGGCCUUACCAAAUUGUCCAACUCUGGGUUUGAAGAAAAAAGUGGUUUUUCAGCGCGGACCUACGAGAAGAAGGAAAAACGGCGUGGGUUGCGGCUCCUUCCUCCAGCCCUGGGGAUCCCCCCUUUGCAACCUCCCCCCGAUCCUCAUCCACGGCCCCUUCCACCGGGCACGGGGUGAGGACCCGGCCCGGAGGGCACCCGCCGCCCCAUCCCGCCCCCACCGAGGGGGCCGGGGGCCAACCCCUCGCGGCUCGGGGGGCCCCGGGGGGAGCGGUGCCGGACCUGCUUGGCGAAGACGGCGAUGUCCUCGUUGAAGGAGUCGGAGGAGCAGACGUCCCCGCCGGCCACGCCGGGCUCCCGGGGCGUGCAGGUCGCCAGCUCGCACUUCUCAAAGACCAGGGCGAGGAGGGGAAACAGCGGGUGCCCGUAGAUCGCAUCCUUGUCCCGCUUCAGAGCGUCGUUGACAGCGGAGCCCAUGCUGGCCGGCAUGACGUUGGGGUGCGGGGCGUGGGCGCCGUAGUGCUGUCCGGCGUGUAGCGGCGGCCCAUGGUUGAGGUGGUGCACCGGGGGGAUCGGCCGGGGGGCGUGCGGGUCCCCGUACAUGGACGCCGGCACCCCUACGCCGUCCAUCCCGCCGUAGUGGGGCAGCUCAUCG